rnacentral:rRNA from 1 species
GACAGAGGUGCCGAGCGUUAGGCGGAAUCACUGGGCUUAAAGCGUGUGUAGGCGGACUUCUAAGUACCUUGUGAAAUCCCAUGGCUCAACCAUGGAACUGCUCGGUAUACUGGUUGUCUUGAGCCACUUAGGGGCAGUCGGAACAGACGGUGGAGCGGUGAAAUGCGUAGAUAUCGGUAGGAACACCAGUGGCGAAGGCGGUCUCCUGGGGCAUUCUUGACGCUGAGGCGCGAAAGCUGGGGGAGCAAACGGG